UACAGAGGGGGCGAGCGUUGUUCGGAAUUACUGGGCGUAAAGGGCGCGUAGGCGGCCUUCUAAGUCGAACGUGAAAUCCCCGGGCUCAACCCGGGAACUGCGUCCGAUACUGGAAGGCUUGAAUCCGGGAGAGGGAUGUGGAAUUCCAGGUGUAGCGGUGAAAUGCGUAGAUAUCAGAAGGAACAUCAGUGGCGAAAGCGACUUCCUGGACCAGAACUGACGAUCAGGCACGAAAGCGUGGGGAGCAAACAGG
rnacentral:rRNA from 1 species